GCAAGGGGAGCGGCAGACGGGAGAGUAACACGUGGGAACGUACCCUUCAGUUCGGAACAACCCAGGGAAACUUGGGCUAAUACCGAAUACGUCCGUAAGGAGAAAGAUUUAUCGCUGAAGGAUCGGCCCGCGUCUGAUUAGCUUGUUGGUGAGGUAACGGCUCACCAAGGCGACGAUCAGUAGCUGGUCUGAGAGGAUGAUCAGCCUCACUGGGACUGAGACACGGCCCAGACUCCUACGGGAGGCAGCAGUGGGGAAUAUUGGACAAUGGGCGCAAGCCUGAUCCAGCCAUGCCGCGUGGGUGAUGAAGGCCCUAGGG
rnacentral:rRNA from 1 species